UGUGACUGCGUACCUUUUGUAUAAUGGGUCAGCGACUUAUAUUCUGUAGCAAGGUUAACCGUAUAGGGGAGCCGGAGGGAAACCGAGUCUUAAUUGGGCGUUAAGUUGCAGGGUAUAGACCCGAAACCCGGUGAUCUAGCCAUGGGCAGGUUGAAGGUUGGGUAACACUAACUGGAGGACCGAACCGACUAAUGUUGAAAAAUUAGCGGAUGACCUGUGGCUGGGGGUGAAAGGCCAAUCAAACCGGGAGAUAGCUGGUUCUCCCCGAAAGCUAUUUAGGUAGCGCCUCGUGAAUUCAUCUCCGGGGGUAGAGCACUGUUUCGGCUAGGGGGCCAUCCCGGCUUACCAACCCGAUGCAAACUGCGAAUACCGGAGAAUGUUAUCACGGGAGACACACGGCGGGUGCUAACGUCCGUCGUGAAGAGGGAAACAACCCAGACCGCCAGCUAAGGUCCCAAAGUCAUGGUUAAGUGGGAAACGAUGUGGGAAGGCCCAGACAGCCAGGAUGUUGGCUUAGAAGCAGCCAUCAUUUAAAGAAAGCGUAAUAGCUCACUGGUCGAGUCGGCCUGCGCGGAAGAUGUAACGGGGCUAAACCAUGCACCGAAGCUGCGGCAGCGAACGUAUCACCCAAGACAACUUUACGGAGUUGACGAUUGACGGAGCGAAGCGACGUCAAAGCGUUCAUUAAAGUCGAGUUGGCUUAGGGAUACGUUCGUUGGGUAGGGGAGCGUUCUGUAAGCCUGUGAAGGUGUGUCGUGAGGCAUGCUGGAGGUAUCAGAAGUGCGAAUGCUGACAUAAGUAACGAUAAAGCGGGUGAAAAGCCCGCUCGCCGGAAGACCAAGGGUUCCUGUCCAACGUUAAUCGGGGCAGGGUGAGUCGACCCCUAAGGCGAGGCCGAAAGGCGUAGUCGAUGGGAAACGGGUUAAUAUUCCCGUACUUGGUGUUACUGCGAAGGGGGGACGGAGAAGGCUAUGUUGGCCGGGCGACGGUUGUCCCGGUUUAAGCGUGUAGGUGUGUGUUCCAGGUAAAUCCGGUUCACUUUAACACUGAGGCGUGACGACGAGGCACUACGGUGCUGAAGCAACAAAUGCCCUGCUUCCAGGAAAA
rnacentral:rRNA from 1 species